GAGACCCUGUUGAUGCCGAAGCCUCAGGCUCUGCGUGAGGCAUUGACGUAGGAAUCAAUGGGGUCAC
rnacentral:sRNA from 12 species